rnacentral:piRNA from 1 species
UUCAAUAGAGGUGUCUAUUGGUUAAA